rnacentral:rRNA from 1 species
UACGAAGGGGGGCUAGCGUUGCUCGGAAUGACUGGGCGUAAAGGGCGCGUAGGCGGCGGCCACAGUCAGAUGUGAAAUUCCUGGGCUUAACCUGGGGGCUGCAUUUGAUACGUGGUUGCUUGAGUGGGGAAGAGGGUCGUGGAAUUCCCAGUGUAGAGGUGAAAUUCGUAGAUAUUGGGAAGAACACCGGUGGCGAAGGCGCUCUGCUGGACCAUAACUGACACUCAGGGACGAAAGCUAGGGGAGCGAAUGGG